CCAAGGUAGCCCGUUGUGCCCCAACUUUAGAAAACUUUAAGAACCACCUAUUAAAUAUUGAACUUGCUGAUCUCUGUGACUGGCCAGACUUAAAUUCCUGUAAUCAUGCUGCCAGGUCCCGUCUGUAAGAUAUUUCUUUGUCGAUGUCUUAUAUUUUUAGCAUAAACAGCGAUGCGAAAGUUGUCGAAGCAUUGCGAGCGCCCUCUUGUGUUUUCCGUUGAAUAGAGCAUACCGAGUUGCGUAACAAUUUGCAUAUGACACGCAGUGCGAAAAAGCCUUUUAUUCCGUGCAGUGUCUCAAAAGCAUAGGGCUUCGGACGCACAUUCCGUGAAUUUUUUCGCUAGUUUUCUUGGAGAGUAAGCAAGCAUGGGUAGGUCACUUGACUGCUUGUCAUUGCUGCUGCCAGCCACACCUUAUUGCGAGCCAGCUUGUCUAUAUUUUGCUGUGUUUCUCACGUGGUUUUGCCAUGGUUAGCACGCCGCAUGUGCAUACACAUAUCGUGUACAUGCAUAUCGUGUAGUUUGCCCAAACAUCCCGAGGCAUAGGUACACAGGCCGCAACUGCUCCGCUACUGCUUGUGGUUCUGUGGUUCCUGAUGGUCACAAAUAGAGAGGCCUUCUUGAGUAGACCAGUGUAUCCCUUAUCCAGCAUCCAUAAUAUUUGGACUGCUGAAGAAUGACUGUCGUUUUUUUGUAAUAAUAAAAUUUUGAUCAAUUUAUAGUGGAAUAUAUACCCAGUGUCACUUUUAAAUUUUUCUGCGUAACCUUUCCAGCUCG